rnacentral:rRNA from 1 species
CACAUUAGUUAGUUGGUGGGGUAAUGGCCUACCAAGACGAUGAUGUGUAGCCGGGCUGAGAGGUCGAACGGCCACAUUGGGACUGAGACACGGCCCAAACUCCUACGGGAGGCAGCAGUAAGGAAUUUUCGGCAAUGGAGGAAACUCUGACCGAGCAAUGCCGCGUGAACGAUGAAGUAUUUCGGUACGUAAAGUUCUUUUAUUAGGGAAGAAAAGAUGGUGGAAAAACCAUUAUGACGGUACCUAAUGAAUAAGCCCCGGCUAACUAUGUGCCAGCAGCCGCGGUAAUACAUAGGGGGCAAGCGUUAUCCGGAAUUAUUGGGCGUAAAGGGUGCGUAGGCGGUUAAAUAAGUUUAUGGUCUAAGUGCAACGCUCAACGUUGUGAUGCUAUAAAAACUGUUUAGCUAGAGUUGGAUAGAGGCAAGUGGAAUUCCGUGUGUAGUGGUAAAAUGCGUAAAUAUACGGAGGAACACCAGAAGCGAAGGCGGCUUGCUGGGUCUUAACUGACGCUGAGGCACGAAAGCGUGGGGAGCAAACAGGAUUAGAUACCCUGGUAGUCCACGCCCUAAACGAUGAGUACUAAACGUUGGAUAAAACCAGUGUUGAAGUUAACACAUUAAGUACUCCGCCUGAGUAGUACGUACGCAAGUAUGAAACUUAAAGGAAUUGACGGGACUCCGCACAAGCGGUGGAUCAUGUUGUUUAAUUCGAAGGUACCCGAAAAACCUCACCAGGUCUUGACAUGCUUUUGCAAAGCUGUAGAAAUACAGUGGAGGUUAUCAGAAGCACAGGUGGUGCAUGGUUGUCGUCAGCUCGUGUCGUGAGAUGUUGGGUUAAGUCCCGCAACGAGCGCAACCCUUGUUGUUAAUUGCCAUCAUUAAGUUGGGGACUUUAGCAAGACUGCCAAUGAUAAAUUGGAGGAAGGUGGGGAGGACGUCAAAUCAUCAUGCCCCUUAUGACCUGGGCUACAAACGUGAUACAAUGGCUGUUACAAAGGGUAGCUAAAGCGUAAGCUUCUGGCGAAUCUCAAAAAAGCAGUCUCAGUUCGGAUUGAAGUCUGCAACUCGACUUCAUGAAGUGGAAUCGCUAGUAUAUCGCGAAUCAGCAUGUCGCGGCCUACAACGACGUUUCCCA